UGAAACUUCUGGGGAGCUGCAGCCAGAGAAACAUCUGUCUCUGGAACUGACAGAUGUAAAAUGUUUGUAACUCCCUACUGCAUGGCUUCUAUCUCUGCUUUUUGCCUGUUUAUUUCUUGAUACAAAGAAGCCCCGAUGCCCAAGUUUUGCUUCUGAAAUGCAAUGCUUAAAAGCAGGAGCAGCACAUACCAGGGAGCUGUCACUGUGCUGCAUUCACACCCCGUGGUGUGGAAGCUGUUGUUUCUUGCAGUGAUUGCUCCUGAGAGAGGGCCUUGAACUAUACUGGAGUGGUUUUGCUUCUUACGAUCUAAGGAAUUUUUGUUUGGAUUGGGUUGGAUUUGUUAUUGUUUUUUCUUAUUAAUUUUAGUUUGCGAGUCUUUCUUUCUUUUUUCCCCAGCAGUCACCAGCCUUGUUACUGAUGCCUGGUCAAUUGGUUGGUCGGAGGAUAGAUAUGAGAAACACAAACUGCACGGUACUUUUAAAACAUACAGGCUGUGUUAAGUUCCCAGCUUCACAGCACACCGGACGUUCAAACAGUCUGGAUCCUAUUUAGCAAACAUUGUAGAACGUAUUCAGUUAAUAAAAGCUUGGCAAAUAUUAGUAAAAGGCUUGUAAUGGCUGGGAGUGAUGUAAAGGUUAAAAGCUUUGAUAGCAUCGUACCAAGCCCGGAUGAAGCUUGAAGGAACCAAAAUGAUGGGCCAAUGAGAAAUCUCAGUGCUGAUGAGGACAUGAUGAAAUAUUCAUUUGUUGGAAUCAGGAAAAGAUGCAACUGUUCUAUAAAUCUGCAUUUAGCUUCAGAACUUGAUUUUUUUAUAUAUAUUUUUCAGCUCAUGCAGUCCAAUUCUCUCAUUAUCAGUGUAUACAAACUAAAACAAGGAAGAAGUUUCCUCACUACUCCCAGCCUGACAAGAAAGCAAGAUGUUCUUUUCUUUAUGCUUAUGUUACACUGUUUUUCCCUAAUUACAAGCCAGGAGAGGGCUGCAGGGCAGACAGGCACAUGGGGAACGCUAUUUAUUGGUAGGAUCAUUUUGGUGCAGCUGCUGCCCUGACUGGGCAGAGAGAAGCUCCCUGUGGCCCUGAGAUUCCAGCACCUCUCAGGGAAGGCCUGGACAGGAGACGCAAAACCAGGACCACCAGAACUCAUGUGCCAGAUCAGGAUGCACUGCAUUCCCGCUUCCAAAACCGCCCUGAAGAUUCACUUUCCUUUAAAGGCUUGUCUGGACGAGGAUAAAGGUGUAUUUAAAAAAAAAAAAAAGUGCCAGUGAAAAACUUUUAAUUAACAUGAUUUCAGACCCGCAGUGUUGACGGGGUGUGUUGUAUUUUAGCGCAUUUGCCAGCAAACGUGUUAAAAUACAUUUGUGUCCUGUCUACAGGUAACAAGUUGGGACAAGUUUCCAAAAGUUUCAACAUUUAAUUGGAAUUAAAAGUGCUGACUGAGGUACUUUUACCCUGGCUGAGGCUGGGUGUCGUACAUGGAUUUUCUGGAGCUCUGAGAACAGCUGUGAGGCACACACUAUCAGCAAACACUGUGUCACAGGAGAGUGUGAAACCAAUCUUGGGCAAAACAUGCUGCGAGGAGUCACAUGUGGAAGCACUGCUGACAAGCUGAUUUUGGGGGUACAGCGUGCAACUGGAGAUCAGGCAGUGGGCUAAGAGAAACGCUGUGAGAUGGUCGCUGUGGGUCCCUUCCACCUCAGGAUAUUCUAUGAUUCUAUGACCUUUGUGUGUGGAAGCCACUGAAGCACAAUGGAGAUGAAAAGAUCAAGAACUUAAGUGAAGUGCAAGAUUAAGAAUGAGGAAUCUCCCCUGCAGCGUAUUUGUUCUUGCUGGAGUCCUAAAGGUGUGGUGUGACAGCGAGCAGCCCAGCGGCUGCUGGGCCAGCCACAUGGUUACAUCUGGUGGUGGCACCUCACAUCGAGGGGUCUCUGUUAGAACAGAGCUGUCCGGGUUGCGAUGCACUGGGAAGGCAGCAUGCAGUUGUAGAACAUAGAAAUGGUUGAAAACCACACCGUUUGCAAAGCAUAUGCCGCCAAAACUCCCACAGCCUCUCUGUGCAGUGUUUCAGUGCCACCGCUCUGAGAUCCACGCGCUGCUACAGAAGAAAGGGAACUCGCAGAUGCCAACGCAGGUGAAAUCCCAGUGCAGGUGGACAGACGGAUGGCUUCUAGUGCUGUUAGGUCCUGGCACGGUCUUCAAGGAGGUCUUCUCCAUGAGCUGGUAUCUCGACUAGCGUGAAAAAGACAAAAUAAUAGUUAAAAAAAGAGAAAAUCACGAUCCAAAUGAAGAGGGAGCAGAGCAAGCCCCGAGCUCGGAGUUCCCUCGGGAAGUGGCUCACGAAGAUCUCCGCCUCUCCUCGCCCCUCCGUCGCGCAAACGCCCGCCGAG
ensembl:lncRNA